rnacentral:rRNA from 1 species
CCUACGGGUGGCUGCAGUGGGGAAUGUUGGACAAUGGGCGAAAGCCUGAUCCAGCCAUGCCGCGUGUGUGAAGAAGGCCUUCGGGUUGUAAAGCACUUUCAGUGGGGAAGAAAGCCUUGGGGCUAAUACCCUCGAGGAAGGACAUCACCCACAGAAGAAGCACCGGCUAACUCCGUGCCAGCAGCCGCGGUAAUACGGAGGGUGCGAGCGUUAAUCGGAAUUACUGGGCGUAAAGCGCGCGUAGGCGGUCUGAUAAGCCGGUUGUGAAAGCCCCGGGCUCAACCUGGGAACGGCAUCCGGAACUGUCAGGCUAGAGUGCAGGAGAGGAAGGUAGAAUUCCCGGUGUAGCGGUGAAAUGCGUAGAGAUCGGGAGGAAUACCAGUGGCGAAGGCGGCCUUCUGGACUGACACUGACGCUGAGGUGCGAAAGCGUGGGUAGCAAACAGGAUUAGAUACCCGAGUAGUC